rnacentral:rRNA from 1 species
AUUGAACGCUGGCGGCAUGCUUUACACAUGCAAGUCGAACGGUAACAGGCCUUCGGGUGCUGACGAGUGGCGAACGGGUGCGUAAUGCAUCGGAACGUACCCAGAGGUGGGGGAUAACGCAGCGAAAGCUGUGCUAAUACCGCAUGUGAUCUGAGGAUGAAAGCGGGGGACCGAGCAGCAAUGUUUGGCCUCGCGCCUUUGGAGCGGCCGAUGUCGGAUUAGCUAGUUGGGGGGGUAAAGGCCUACCAAGGCGACGAUCCGUAGCUGGUCUGAGAGGACGACCAGCCACACUGGGACUGAGACACGGCCCAGACUCCUACGGGAGGCAGCAGUGGGGAAUUUUGGACAAUGGGCGCAAGCCUGAUCCAGCAAUGCCGCGUGCGGGAAGAAGGCCUUCGGGUUGUAAACCGCUUUUGGCAGGAACGAAACGGUGUCCGCUAAUACCGGGCGCUAAUGACGGUACCUGCAGAAUAAGCACCGGCUAACUACGUG